rnacentral:rRNA from 1 species
AUUGAACGCUGGCGGCAUGCCUUACACAUGCAAGUCGAACGGCAGCACGGGAGCAAUCCUGGUGGCGAGUGGCGAACGGGUGAGUAAUAUAUCGGAACGUGCCCAGUCGUGGGGAUAACGUAGCGAAAGCUACGCUAAUACCGCAUACGAUCUAUGGAUGAAAGCGGGGGAUCGCAAGACCUCGCGCGAUUGGAGCGGCCGAUAUCAGAUUAGGUAGUUGGUGAGGUAAAGGCUCACCAAGCCGACGAUCUGUAGCUGGUCUGAGAGGACGACCAGCCACACUGGGACUGAGACACGGCUCAGACUCCUACGGGAGGCAGCAGUGGGGAAUUUUUGGACAAUGGGCGCAAGCCUGAUCCAGCAAUGCCGCGUGCAGGAUGAAGGCCUUC